rnacentral:rRNA from 1 species
GACGAACGCUGGCGGCGUGCCUAAUACAUGCAAGUCGAGCGAAGUUUUUCUGGUGCUUGCACUAGAAAAACUUAGCGGCGAACGGGUGAGUAACACGUAAAGAACCUGCCUCAUAGACUGGGACAACUAUUGGAAACGAUAGCUAAUACCGGAUAACAGUAUUUCUCGCAUGAGAGAUAUUUAAAAGUUGGUUAUGCUAACACUAUGAGAUGGCUUUGCGGUGCAUUAGCUAGUUGGUGGGGUAAAGGCCCACCGAGGCGACGAUGCAUAGCCGACCUGAGAGGGUGAUCGGCCACACUGGGACUGAGACACGGCCCAGACUCCUACGGGAGGCAGCAGUAGGGAAUCUUCCGCAAUGGGCGAAAGCCUGACGGAGCAACGCCGCGUGAGUGAAGAAGGAUUUCGGUUCGUAAAGCUCUGUUGUUAGGGAAGAAUGGAUAUGUAGUAACUAUACAUGUAAGAGACGGUACCUAACCAGAAAGCCACGGCUAACUACGUG